AGUGAACGCUGGCGGUAGGCCUAACACAUGCAAGUCGAACGGCAGCACAGUAAGAGCUUGCUCUUACGGGUGGCGAGUGGCGGACGGGUGAGGAAUACAUCGGAAUCUACUUUUUCGUGGGGAAUAACGUAGGGAAACUUACGCUAAUGCCGCAUACGACCUACGGGUGAAAGCAGGGGAUCUUCGGACCUUGCGCGAUUGAAUGAGCCGAUGUCGGAUUAGCUAGUUGGCGGGGUAAAGGCCCACCAAGGCGACGAUCCGUAGCUGGUCUGAGAGGAUGAUCAGCCACACUGGAACUGAGACACGGUCCAGACUCCUACGGGAGGCAGCAGUGGGGAAUAUUGGACAAAGGGCGCAAGCCUGAUCCAGCCAUACCGCGUGGGUGAAGAAGGCCUUCGGGUUGUAAAGCCCUUUUGUUGGGAAAGAAAAGCAGCGGGUUAAUACCCCGCUGUUCUGACGGUACCCAAAGAAUAAGCACCGGCUAACUUCGUG
rnacentral:rRNA from 1 species